rnacentral:rRNA from 1 species
CGGGUGAGUAACACGUAUCCAACCUGCCGUCUACUCUUGGACAGCCUUCUGAAAGGAAGAUUAAUACAAGAUGGCAUCAUGAGUCCGCAUGUUCACAUGAUUAAAGGUAUUCCGGUAGACGAUGGGGAUGCGUUCCAUUAGAUAGUAGGCGGGGUAACGGCCCACCUAGUCUUCGAUGGAUAGGGGUUCUGAGAGGAAGGUCCCCCACAUUGGAACUGAGAUACGGCCCAG